UUUAGGUGAGGUGCUGGUGCUUUAGGAGUUUGGGCGAGGUGCUGAGGUUGAGAUGCUUUAGGUUUGAUUUUAUGUUCUUUCCUUUAAAUCUGUUCGUGCAAUGGAUUUAGUGAGUUUUUGGUUUUUCUUGGUGCUUGCUUCGAUUGGCCUGACUUGAUUUGUAGAUUUGGUGGUUCCAUGGUGGACUGCAGGUGAUUACCUUCCUUGCCAAAAAUGGGAUGUGGUCCAGCCGUUGUCACGUGGGUACUAUUAUUGGGCAGAGUGGUGAUGGUUGUUGAUGGAUGAGC
rnacentral:lncRNA from 1 species